UACGGAGGGGGCGAGCGUUAUUCGGAAUUAUUGGGCGUAAAGGGCGCGUAGGCGGCCUGGUCAGUCGAAGGUGAAAUCCCCGAGCUCAACUUGGGAACUGCCUUCGAUACUGCCGGGCUUGAGUCCGGGAGGGGAGAGUGGAAUUCCCAGUGUAGCGGUGAAAUGCGUAGAUAUUGGGAGGAACACCAGUGGCGAAGGCGGCUCACUGGACCGGAACUGACGCUGAGGCGCGAAAGCGUGGGGAGCAAACCGG
rnacentral:rRNA from 1 species